rnacentral:lncRNA from 1 species
GUCCAUUUGGGUCGAGUCCCAAACUUCGAGGUGAAAUAUUGUUCUGGCUUCUACAGUCAAACGGUGCACUCAGCCAAUGCAGAUCAAACAAAAAAGAAAAAAAAAGGAAGGAAGAAGAAAAGAACAAAAAGACUCUGCACGCUCUAAGCAACACAUAAUCUGAGACAUAAUAUACAGCUCAAACCACCUAUCAACCUUACGUUCCAACUAUAUAGAGAAAAAACUUGAUGCGGCUACACAUA